ACUGACGCUAGAGAUGAUAGAUCUUACUUACAUGCACCGCUACCUCACCAGUCGAUAGAUCCGAUUGAAUCUAGCUCAUCUUCUGAUAAGGAGAAUCGAAGUCAUGCACCUGCACAUCUAUCUCACCACUCACCGUUUCUAGAUCCGAUUGAAUCUAGCCUAUCUUCUGAUGAGGAGAAUCAAAUUCAUGCACCUGCACAGUCCUUGGUUAUAGAUCCAAUUGAUGAGGAGGAGAAUCAAAGUCAUGCACCAGCCUCUGAGAAUGCUGAAAUACAGAAGAUGAAG
rnacentral:misc_RNA from 1 species